UACCAGACUCCUACGGGAGGCAGCAGUGGGGAAUAUUGCACAAUGGGGGAAACCCUGAUGCAGCGACGCCGCGUGAGUGAAGAAGUAUUUCGGUAUGUAAAGCUCUAUCAGCAGGGAAGAAGAAGGACGGUACCUGAGUAAGAAGCCCCGGCUAACUACGUGCCAGCAGCCGCGGUAAUACGUAGGGGGCAAGCGUUAUCCGGAUUUACUGGGUGUAAAGGGAGCGUAGACGGCGAAGAAAGUCUGAAGUGAAAGCCCGCGGCUCAACCGCGGAAUGGCUUUGGAAACUUUUUUGCUGGAGUACCGGAGAGGUAAGCGGAAUUCCUAGUGUAGCGGUGAAAUGCGUAGAUAUCAGGAGGAACACCGGUGGCGAAGGCGGCCUGCUGGACGGCGACUGACGUUGAGGCUCGAAAGCGUGGGGAGCGAACAGGAUUAGAUACCCUCGUAAGU
rnacentral:rRNA from 1 species